UCGUGGUCUCUGGGGAAAAGGAUCUUCUCACACAGGCAGUCAUUUGGGCCCACAUCCACCGAUGGGCCUUCUGAGGGAAACACGAUCGUCCCCACUGUGCAACUGAAAAAGAGGACUGAUCUGCCUUCAAGGAGGAAAGGCAAUAACCUUCCAGAAAAGCCCAGGCUUCCUUCUCACACUCAUUUUCGGGAGUAAUGGAGGGUCUGCAAGAGCCCUCAGUUGUGUCCACUCGACUGUGUCAGAUGCUUCAGCCCCCAGGACAUCCCUGUCCCUGCAGUGUCCCUGAUCCGCCAACACUGGGAGCGAGAGGGACCGCCCAGCCCAUUCUGGUUCUGCACGUCUCACAUCGUUCUUGGACAUCAGGCUCCAGGACCAAGCGGAGGGAUCCUUCCCCGAGGGAGCAGUCCUGUGGACGGCUAAGUCCCUGCGCCCCGGCCCUGGUCUUCCUGCCUCCAGGGCGCCCACCCUCAAGGUCUUUGCCUCAGCAAGAUGUGUCUGUGCGGAUCCGAAAUCUGCUCACAGCACAUGGUGCCUCUGUCCUUGGGCUCAACGUCAGCUACACUCAUCGGGCAGCCGUGCUGUGGUCUCAUCUGAAGGCUCGGCCGUGGGGGAGUUGGCGUCCAGCUUACUUGGGUUCUGCACCACCUGUUGUUUGGAAAUGCC